AGGGUAAUCAUUUUUGCAUUUUUUAAUUUUUCGGCCCGAACGGUCCUGUGUGAAACUCACUACCGGAAUUGUUGCAUACGGGUAUUUUAGUUAGGUCCAUAUGCAUUAUAUUUAUUUUUAUUUGUUGUGUUUUAAGUGGUUGUAAAUUAAAUGUGUACAUAUGUAUAUGUGUGGUGUAGAUUAAAAGAUAAAAGAAAAAGAGAAAAGAAAAGAAAAAUAGGUGGGCCCCACCAUUUCAUUAAACCAUCACCUAAAGGCCAUUUACAGGCCAUCAGUUCUCUCUCUCUCUCUACUAUGAUUUUUCUCGCUCCCUUUUGGUUCUAUUUUUCUUUUUCUUUUUGUUACAAAUUCAAGCUUUGAUUUCUCCCUCAUUUGUCGGAAUUUUUAAGUGCCGUUUACGGCAAAUCGAAACCCACAACAAGAUCUUCAAAUCCAUACCAGCAAUUUCAGCUUUUGGCCACUCUAAGAAGUCCAAAAAUUGAGACCCAUUUUGAGGGUUUGAGGUGAAAAUUGGGGCUUUUGGCUUAGAUUGAGGACACGGAUGACAAGUGGUGGACGGCGCUCCUCCACAGGGUUUGAUGGGACACGGAUGACAAGUGGCGGACGACGCUCCUCUACAAGGUUCGAUGGAUUAGUAGACCGUUUUGACAUACCUUGUAGCUUUAAUCUCAUUUUAUUAUUUAUUUAUUUAUUUAUUUCUUAUUACUUAUUUUUUUAAUAAAUCCGGAAUGACACGUAUAAUAUGUAUUGACGUAGGAAAGAAUGGUGCUAUCACUAGUUGACCUCAGGUUCGGUUAAGGACCCGGUUAACGGUUCGGACCUACGGGUUCGAGUUGUUACAAAAAAUAUGUAUUAAAAUAAACAUAAUGAAGAGUUCCUAGAAUAUAAUUCUAUUUUUAAUGCUA